rnacentral:misc_RNA from 1 species
GAUGAAGAACGUAGCGAAAUGCGAUAAGUAAUGUGAAUUGCAGAAUUCAGUGAAUCAUCGAAUCUUUGAACGCACAUUGCGCCCGCCAGUAUUCUGGCGGGCAUGCCUGUUCGAGCGUCAUUACAACCCUCAGGCCCCCGGGCCUGGCGUUGGGGAUCGGCGGAGCCCCCCGUGGGCACACGCCGUCCCCCAAAUACAGUGGCGGUCCCGCCGCAGCUUCCAUCGCGUAGUAGCUAACACCUCGCGACUGGAGAGCGGCGCGGCCACGCCGUAAAACACCCAACUUCUGAAUGUUGACCUCGGAUCAGGUAGGAAUACCCGCUGAACUUAAGCAUAUCAAUAAGCGGAGGA